UAUGUGAUCGUCUCUCGCAUAUCAAUAAGCGGAGGAAAAGAAACUAACAAGGAUUCCCCUAGUAACGGCGAGUGAAGCGGGAAGAGCUCAAAUUUGAAAUCUUAAAGGGUUUCCCUUUACGAAUUGUAGUUUAAAGAAGUGUUUUCUGUUGAGGUUUUGGUAAAAGUUCUUUGGAAUAGGACAUCAUAGAGGGUGAGAAUCCCGUAUUUGACCUUUACUUUCAACUUUGUGAUACACUUUCAAAGAGUCGGAUUGUUUGGGAAUGCAGUCCAAAAUGGGUGGUAAAUUUCAUCUAAAGCUAAAUAUUGGCGAGAGACCGAUAGCGAACAAGUACCGUGAGGGAAAGAUGAAAAGAACUUUGAAAAGAGAGUUAAACAGUACGUGAAAUUGUCAAAAGGGAAGCGUUUGACACCAGUGUUGUUUUUCUGAAAAUCAAUUAAAGAACUGUUUAUGCUAAGCUGUUUAGACUUUAUCAGCUAUCUGUUUAGUUUUGAGCUUUUCUUUAAUGCACUUUUCAGUUAACAAGUCAACAUCAAUUUCUUUUGCUGUAAAAAAGCUUGAGGAAGGUGGCUUGAGAUUCGUCUUAAGUGUUUAUAGCCUCUUGCCUAUGCAGUCGGAGAGAUUGAGGUCUGCAGCGUAGAUCCUUCGGGGCUAAAUGCAUUUGUGCUAAGUUAUAGCAUUUUAUAGACAACUUGUUGACUAUGAUUUGUCUUGUAGCUUACUCGCUUAUGUUAUUUUACCUACGCUUAGGAUGUUGAGCGCAUGUCUCUCUCU
rnacentral:rRNA from 1 species